AUUGAACGCUGGCGGCAGGCCUAACACAUGCAAGUCGAGCGGAUGAAGGGAGCUUGCUCCUGGAUUCAGCGGCGGACGGGUGAGUAAUGCCUAGGAAUCUGCCUGGUAGUGGGGGAUAACGUCCGGAAACGGGCGCUAAUACCGCAUACGUCCUGAGGGAGAAAGUGGGGGAUCUUCGGACCUCACACUAUCAGAUAAGCCUAGGUCGGAUUAGCUAGUUGGUGGGGUAAAGGCCUACCACGGCGACGAUCCGUAACUGGUCUGAGAGGAUGAUCAGUCACACUGGAACUGAGACACGGUCCAGACUCCUACGGGAGGCAGCAGUGGGGAAUAUUGGACAAUGGGCGAAAGCCUGAUCCAGCCAUGCCGCGUGUGUGAUGAAGGUCUUCGGAUUGUAAAGCACUUUAAGUUGGGAGGAAGGGCAGUAAGUUAAUACCUUGCUGUUUUGACGUUACCAACAGAAUAAGCACCGGCUAACUUCGUG
rnacentral:rRNA from 1 species